GUCUAUGGUCACGCCACCCUGAACAAGCCCAAUCCCAUCUGAUCUCGGAAGCUAAGCAGGGUUGGGCCUGGUUAGUACUUGGAUGGGAGACCACCUAGGAAGACCAGGUGCUAUAGGCG
rnacentral:rRNA from 1 species